GUCUCAAACAAAAGAGAAAUCAGCAAAUGCUGGUAAAGAUGAGGUGAAAUGGGAAGACUCAUCCAUUGGUGGGAAUGUAAACCGGUACAGCCACUUUGGAAAUCAAAACAAGCUGGGUAACUAAAAACAGAACUGCCACAUGAACCAGCUCUAUUCCUUUAGGCAUAUGCUCAAAGACUCCCAAUUGUAGUACAGAUACUUGCUCAUCCAUGUUUAUUGAUACUUUAUUCACAGCAGUAAAGAAAUAGAAUCAGACUAACUGUUCAUCAGUAGAUGAAUGGAUAAUGAAAUGUGGAAUGUACACACAAUACAUUUUAUUUAGUCACAAAGAAAAAAAUUCAGGAAUAUCGGUGGAAAUUGGAAAGUAUUAUAUGAUGGAAGGCAAAGGUUCAGAAAGGCAAAUACUGUACAUCCUCUCCCAUAUGCAGAUCCUAACAUCUAACUGUAAAAUAUGUGUAUUGAGGCUGGGCGGUGUUGGCAUAUACCUUUGAUCCCAGCACUCAGGAGGCAGAAGCAGAUAAGUUCGAGGCCAGCCUGGUCUACUGAUGGAGUUCCAGGACAGCCUCCAAAGCAAUACAGAGAAACCCUGUCUCAAAAAAAAAAAAAAAAAAAAGUAUAUUGAGGGCUGGAAAGAUGUCUCAGUGGUUCUUCCAGAGGACUCAGGUAGUGGCACAACACUCUGUAACUCUAGUUCCAGAGGACUCCAAUGCUGUCUUCUGGCCUACAUGGGUACUGUACACACACAGACAUACAUGCAGGCAAAACAACAAUACAAAUAAAAAACCAACUCUCAAAAAUAUAUAUUUUUUAAAUAUCUGUGUAUCUAGGUGGAAGUAAAUGUGGUAAAGGCCAGGGAUGUUGAAAGGGGCCCAUUUUUAGGGAAAAGGGGUUUACAAUAGGACAAACUGGAAGAAGGAUCAGAGGUUGCCAGUGAGUACAGUAGGGAAAGACCUUCAGGGCAGGUAAAUAGAUGAUAGAGCAAGGGCAGAAGUCUCAACCAAAAUGAAAUAUGUAUGAAAGUCCUGUAUGGGAACCUAUUAUUUUGUAAUUUAAAAGUUAAAAUAAAGACUGAAGGAAUAGAUUAGUUCUUACCAGCAUUUGUUGCUUUAAAGAGGCCCUGGGUUAGGUUCCUAGCAUCCACAUGGUGGCUCACAGCCAUCUGUAACUCCAGUACCAGGGAAUCCAUCAGGCCACAUUGGGCACCAAGCAUGCAUACCGAGGACUCAUCGGCACACCAAUGUACUUGAAAGGAGGUUUGGGGAUUCAAUCAGUUCCGAAGUCCUGGGUUCAGUUUAGUCCCACACUAAGAGAAAAAUAAAAAUUAAGAAGCAAAAAUGCAUAAUGUUUUCCCCCAUAAGCAGAACACAGGAAUAUCCACAGCUACUACCAAGUAUGAAUCAUU
rnacentral:lncRNA from 1 species